AAGACCACGCCCUCGAAAGAGGAAGCGGUCAAAGCUGCCCUCUAUACAUAGGUAGCGCUUGAAAAUGAGCCCGCGGAGCAUCAGCUAGUUGGUGAGGUAUGGCUCACCAAGGCUUAGACGCUUAGCUGGUCUGAGAGGAUGAUCAGCCCACUGGAACUGAGACACGGUCCAGACUCCUACGGGAGGCAGCAGUGGGGAUCUUGCGCAAUGGGCGAAAGCCUGACGCAGCGACGCCGCGUGAGUGAUAAGGCCUUCGGGUUGUAAAGCUCUGUGGGGAGAGAAGAGUAAGUGCGGGUAAUACUCCGCAUGAUGACGGUAUCUUCUUAACAAGCACCGGCUAACUCUUGCCAGCAGCCGCGGUAAGACAGAGGGUGCAAACGUUGUUCGGAAUUGUAAGCGAGUGUAGGCGGUUCGGUAAGUCGGAUGUGA
rnacentral:rRNA from 1 species